rnacentral:rRNA from 1 species
UGCAGUCGAGCGCGGGAAGCGAGUGGAUCCCUUCGGGGUGAAGCUCGUGGAACGAGCGGCGGACGGGUGAGUAACACGUGGGCAACCUGCCUGUAAGAUCGGAAUAACCCCGGGAAACCGGGGCUAAUGCCGGGUAAUACUUUUCUUCGCAUGAAGAUAAGUUGAAAGAUGGCUUCUCGCUAUCACUUACAGAUGGGCCCGCGGCGCAUUAGCUAGUUGGUGAGGUAACGGCUCACCAAGGCAACGAUGCGUAGCCGACCUGAGAGGGUGAUCGGCCACACUGGGACUGAGACACGGCCCAGACUCCUACGGGAGGCAGCAGUAGGGAAUCUUCCGCAAUGGACGAAAGUCUGACGGAGCAACGCCGCGUGAACGAUGAAGGUCUUCGGAUCGUAAAGUUCUGUUGUCAGGGAAGAACAAGUACCGUGCGAAUAGAGCGGUACCUUGACGGUACCUGACGAGGAAGCCCCGGCUAACUACGUGCCAGCAGCCGCGGUAAUACGUAGGGGGCAAGCGUUGUCCGGAAUUAUUGGGCGUAAAGCGCGCGCAGGCGGUUCCUUAAGUCUGAUGUGAAAGCCCACGGCUCAACCGUGGAGGGUCAUUGGAAACUGGGGAACUUGAGGACAGAAGAGGAGAGUGGAAUUCCACGUGUAGCGGUGA